CUGUGAGGUAUGCUGGAGGUAUCAGAAGUGCGAAUGCUGACAUAAGUAACGAUAAAGCGGGUGAAAAGCCCGCUCGCCGGAAGACCAAGGGUUCCUGUCCAACGUUAAUCGGGGCAGGGUGAGUCGACCCCUAAGGCGAGGCCGAAAGGCGUAGUCGAUGGGAAACAGGUUAAUAUUCCUGUACUUGGUGUUACUGCGAAGGGGGGACGGAGAAGGCUAUGUUGGCCGGGCGACGGUUGUCCCGGUUUAAGCGUGUAGGCUGAUUUUCCAGGCAAAUCCGGAAAAUCAAGGCUGAGGCGUGAUGACGAGGCACUACGGUGCUGAAGCAACAAAUGCCCUGCUUCCAGGAAAAGCCUCUAAGCAUCAGGUAACAUCAAAUCGUACCCCAAACCGACACAGGUGGUCAGGUAGAGAAUACCAAGGCGCUUGAGAGAACUCGGGUGAAGGAACUAGGCAAAAUGGUGCCGUAACUUCGGGAGAAGGCACGCUGAUAUGUAGGUGAAGCGACUUGCUCGUGGAGCUGAAAUCAGUCGAAGAUACCAGCUGGCUGCAACUGUUUAUUAAAAACACAGCACUGUGCAAACACGAAAGUGGACGUAUACGGUGUGACGCCUGCCCGGUGCCGGAAGGUUAAU
rnacentral:rRNA from 1 species